AAGUACAAAAGCAGAAUGUGCGUAUUCAUUGAAUUAUUGUUGCAAACGACGUCAGACCAGAGAAAUGGAAAUGUUAAGAGCCGCGCUAAUUCUGUUGGUAUCAUGUAUUGUUAAUACUACAUUCGCCCAAUAUAGACUUCAAGAAUCUUUAUCACCACAGGCGUUAAGGAUCCAACGACAAGGUUACAACGUCCCAGCAACUAUCUCGUCUUUAGAUUUUCUAUCAACCCCACAAACACAAAUACCGCGCCCUCGGUAUGGAUUCAAAAAAACAUCGAGAAAAAAUUCAAAAGUGGCGAAGCGACAAUAUUUGGCUGAAGUCUUCAAACAGUCUGCGAUAAAAAACAUGGUGGCCGCGGCGAACGCGUGCAGCAAGAGCGCCGUCAACCUGCCGCUGUCAAACCAACUGACGUAUCAAAAUAAUGUUGCCAGCGACAUUUCAAAAUGGCGUUUAUAGUUAAUUGUUAAAAUCAAGCUAAUUUAUAAGUUAAGCUGUUAUUUAUUGUAAUAUUAAGUUAUUAAAUCAUAAUAUUUAUGCUACUAAUAUUUUUUAUAAA